CCGCCACGUGGAGCGCCUGCCGGAUUCUCGGAAGGCGCCUGCGCGGUUACCGCAGCGCAGCUCCAGGGUGGCCUGUCACCUUACGUCAACAGCGGAGGCCCCACGGCCCGGGUUUACUCCAACGCUGCUGACCUGCUGACGUAACGUUAUCGAGCGAGGCGCAGACGGAAGAAAAGGGAGUAGGAGCGUGGGGCAGCAUCAGACCCAGGGGAGUGCAGGCCUGGCGGCUUUGGCCAAGCAGAUACUUCAUCUCUCAGACCAUUUCUCAGCAUGUUGAGUCAAGUUUACCGCUCUGGGUCCCAGUCCUUCAACCAUCUCCUGCCCUGGGUCAAGUCCACAGCUGUCUCCAGAUCUCAUCGUGUCCAGCCUUCAGCCAUCAGACAUGUUCGUUAUUGGAGCAACAUCCCCUUUAUCACUGUACCCCUCAGUCGUACCCAUGGCAAGUCUUUUGCCCACCGCAGUGAGCUGAAGCAUGCCAAGAGAAUCGUGGUGAAACUCGGCAGUGCCGUGGUGACCCGAGGGGAUGAGUGUGGCCUGGCACUGGGGCGCCUUGCGUCUAUUGUUGAGCAGGUAAUUGCCAAGGUGGAAAAUUCUGCUGAACCAAAAUAGGGUCUUAAAGUUGUUGGUUCCACUUUAACGACUUGUCUCAAAACUCUCUUUCCCGACGGUAUAGAUGCCAGCAGGAGAUAGCAUCCCAGGGCAAGAAAGGAGAAGUCAAGGAAUAGAGUUGAUGUCAUGCAUUUCAUCCUUCAGGCCCCUUAGAGAUAAAUUGCUCUGUGUGAGAGAGAUU
rnacentral:lncRNA from 1 species